GYCGCGGUUAAACCAAGACGAUUUAGUUAUAUGUGGUCGGUCAAAAGACAGUUAAACGAUAUGAAAGUUUGUUUAAUAAUUAUUUAGAAGUAAAAUUCGGAAAUAAUCUAGAAAUCUAAUUAUAGCUAAAAAGUUGAAGCUGUGACAACCCUGAGGGAAACUGGGAUUAGAUACCCCACUAUUCCUGGAGGUAAAGCGAUUUAGAUCUACCGGAGUACUAUGAAUUUAACUUAUUUAAAACUCAAAGAGCUUGGCGGUGUUUUAGACUCUUCAGGGGAACCUGUCUCAUAAUCGACAAUCCACGUUACACCUAACUUCUAUUUGCUCUCAGUAUGUAUACCGUCGUCGUCAGGUAACUUUUUAGAACGAAGAAGUUAGCGACAGAAUUAAUAAUAAAUUCAAACGUCAGAUCAAGGUGCAGCUCACGUAGAAGUGAGGAUGGGUUACAAUUAUAAAACUUAUAAAGACGGAUCAACGACUCAGAGGAGCCCUUGUGAAGGAGGACUUGAAAGUAAAAUGGAAUACAAGAACAUCUUGAAUUAAGCUCUGAAACGUGUACAAAUUGCCCG
rnacentral:rRNA from 1 species